UGCAGUCGAGCGGUAACUAAUUAAUAGCAAUAUUAGUUGGCUAGAGCGGCGCACGGGUGAGUAACGCGUACAUAACCUACCCUAUACUGGGGGAUAGCCUUGGGAAACUGAGAUUAAUACCCCAUGGUAUUAUUUGGCCACCUGGUUGAAUAAUUAAAGUUGAGGCGGUAUAGGAUGGGUGUGCGUCUGAUUAGCUAGUUGGUAGGGUAACGGCCUACCAAGGCUAUGAUCAGUAGGGGGCGUGAGAGCGUGGUCCCCCACACGGGUACUGAGACACGGACCCGACUCCUACGGGAGGCAGCAGUAAGGAAUAUUGGUCAAUGGAGGAAACUCUGAACCAGCUAUCCCGCGUGAAGGAUGAAGGGGCUCUGCCUUGUAAACUUCUUUUGUCUGGGGCGAAAAAGCUCGAUUUAUCGAGAACUG
rnacentral:rRNA from 1 species